rnacentral:lncRNA from 1 species
GUGUCAGUGCGAAGAUUCUCCUCCUUUAACCUGUUCUCCAGGAGCAGGGUCACUCCCACAGAGACGGAUGAGCCAUGGGACCGGCAGUGGGUGGAGUACAGAAGUGCAGUCUUUCCUCAGUACAGUGCCUUACUCAGAGACAAUCUUGGUCCAGUUAGAGUGAAUGAGGUGCUCAGCAGCUUUGACAACACAGGAAAUGUCUAACAUAUCCUAUGGCAGGCAGCAGGGGGUCAGAUCAAGCUGCAGCUCCAUCAUGCACCAGAGGCAGGCACACUUGAGCCUUAGAAGCACCUAAUUAUAAGCAACUUAUUGACUCCUCCUGUCUGUGCCAGGAGUGUUAAAGUACCUUUUCUUUCCCAGCACAUGUCUGAACAACAAUACAAUUAAAUAAGCAAUGUACAUAUCAGGGAAAAUUACAGCAAAUAUUUAAGUUGGCCAAAUUGAAACCUUAUAAGUGAAUAUAGGUGACUGAACAAAGUUGCACAAUCAACUAGUUGCAGAAACAAUUAACUGAUUUCAUUGUUUCCCAUGACUUGUAAUUCCUGUGUACUGUAAAUAUAUUU